rnacentral:rRNA from 1 species
AGCAGCCGCGGUAAUUCCAGCUCCAAUAGCGUAUAUUAAAGUUGUUGCAGUUAAAAAGCUCGUAGUUGAAUUUCGGGGUUAGUAGGUUGGUCAUGCCUCUGGUAUGUACUGGUCUCACUGAUUCCUCCUUCCUGAUGAACCUUAAUGCCAUUAAUUUGGUGUUUUGGGGAAUUUGGACUGUUACUUUAGAAAAAUUAGAGUGUUUAAAGCAAGCUAACGCUUGAAUACAUUAGCAUGGAAUAAUGAAAUAGGACGUUCGAUCCUAUUUUGUUGGUUUCUAGGAUUGACGUAAUGAUUAAUAGGGAUAGUUGGGGGCAUUAGUAUUCAAUUGUCAGAGGUGAAAUUCUUGGAUUUAUUGAAGACUAACUACUGCGAAAGCAUUUGCCAAGGAUGUUUUCAUUAAUCAAGAACGAAAGUUAGGGGAUCGAAGACGAUCAGAUACCGUCGUAGUCUUAACCAUAAACUAUGCCGACUAGGGAUCGGAUGAUGUUAAUUUUUAAUGACUCAUUCGGCGCCUUAC